rnacentral:lncRNA from 1 species
UUGUUUGUUUUGUUUUAUUUUGUUUUAGGCCAUGCAUGCAAGGCAUGCGAAGAUCUUAGUUCCUUGACCAGAGAUUGAACCUGUGACCCCUGCAUCAGGAGCAUGGAGUUUUAACCACCGGACCACCAAGGAAGUUCCUAAAUCUUCAGUUUUUAUGGACAACCUGCUUGGGAUGAGACAGGUGCCCACAGUGCCUGCUCCAACGGGACUGUUUAUCAGGAGCCAACUGCGGACACCGAGAACUGUGCUCAAGGCAUCAGGAAGACACCGCUCACCUCUGUGUGAACUCAGUACUGCAGCCUGUUUGAGAAGCCCUUCCUACAAAUCCGGAGGCCUUCCAAGAUUCUGUUGCAAGCCAGCUGGUGCAUGAUCAGCUAAGGAAGAGAGAGAAGCUUGCUUCACGUCAGUGACAAGCAGAUGGAUCUGUGACAAGGAUGUGUGUUCUCUGGUUUCAAAAAGGAUUGUCUGGGGACUACCGAGGGGGGCCCUCCACACCAGGUAAUUGAGAUCUACCAGGGAGAGGGUGAACGGGCUGCCUGUGGCAUAACUCACAGGGAAUGUUGUGUGCCCUGGAGGGUCUGUGGCCCUGUGUGAUUUAGGGCUGGCCCCAGGCCGCUUGCUGCUGCCGCUGCCUGGGGAGAGGAGCCCACAGACCAUCCAGAGGAAUUGCAUGUUGGUGGCGAGCACACCUCUGAGCCCAAGAAUAUUUGCAGUUCUUGUCCCUCUGAGUGAUGACCCUGUUGGGGGUUCCCCUGGGGCCACAGAACCUCAGCAGGGUACAAGGCAGGCCUGGGCUUGACAUUUGGCUCAGACAGGAGAGCGGGAAGCAGAAAAUAAGCACAGCGCAUUUGGGUGUCCGCUUCUCCAAAGCAAUA